CCUACGGGAGGCAGCAGUGAGGAAUAUUGGUCAAUGGACGAGAGUCUGAACCAGCCAAGUCGCGUGAAGGAUGACGGCUCUAUGGGUUGUAAACUUCUUUUAUAAGGGAGUAAAGCGAGGCACGUGUGCCUUUUUGCAUGUACCGUAUGAAUAAGGAUCGGCUAACUCCGUGCCAGCAGCCGCGGUAAUACGGAGGAUGCGAGCGUUAUCCGGAUUUAUUGGGUUUAAAGGGAGCGUAGAUGGGUGGUUAAGUCAGAUGUGAAAGUCUGAGGCUCAACCUUAAAAUUGCCAUUGAUACUGGCAGUCUUGAGUAUAGUUGAGGUAGGCGGAAUGCGUGGUGUAGCGGUGAAAUGCUUAGAGAUCACGAAGAACCCCGAUUGCGAAGGCAGCUUACUAAGCUAUGACUGACAUUGAUGCACGAAAGCGUGGGGAGCAAACAGGAUUAGAUACCCUUGUAGUC
rnacentral:rRNA from 1 species